rnacentral:rRNA from 1 species
GCGUAAGCGCACGCAGGCGGUCUGUCAAGUCGGAUGUGAAAUCCCCGGGCUCAACCUGGGAACUGCAUUCGAAACUGGCAGGCUAGAGUCUUGUAGAGGGGGGUAGAAUUCCAGGUGUAGCGGUGAAAUGCGUAGAGAUCUGGAGGAAUACCGGUGGCGAAGGCGGCCCCCUGGACAAAGACUGACGCUCAGGUGCGAAAGCGUGGGGAGCAAACAGGAUUAGAUACCCUGGUAGUCCACGCCGUAAACGAUGUCGACUUGGAGGUUGUGCCCUUGAGGCGUGGCUUCCGGAGCUAACGCGUUAAGUCGACCGCCUGGGGAGUACGGCCGCAAGGUUAAAACUCAAAUGAAUUGACGGGGGCCCGCACAAGCGGUGGAGCAUGUGGUUUAAUUCGAUGCAACGCGAAGAACCUUACCUACUCUUGACAUCCAGAGAACUUGGCAGAGAUGCAUUGGUGCCUUCGGGAACUCUGAGACAGGUGCUGCAUGGCUGUCGUCAGCUCGUGUUGUGAAAUGUUGGGUUAAGUCCCGCAA